CCUCUAUUGUCAUGAUGUGUCAUAAUGGGGCCUGACAAGUAGACAGUAGAGGUGAACACAGGGCAUUGGGGGAUCCCAUGCAAGCGAACAACCCAGCUUACAGGCUUAGACACUGAAGUCAAAACCAAACUGAAAUUAAGUCAAGAGCAGGUAGACUGUUUCAGGUGGAGAAGAAACCAUACACAAAGGUGCAGGCCAUGAUGCAGUCAAAGACAUGGUGGAGAUCCUUGGGAACUAUGGUGCCAGGGAGGCUGGUGAGGCUAGAAGCCUCAGGUCAAGCUGCAGUGCCCAGAAUCUCAGAAGAUAACAUGACAGAAGGCACUACUUGCCUUGAAGGCUCACUUGCAGUUUGGAGGCCCUUGUUGCAAGGUGUGCCUGGCUUGUCCUUCCCACUCAAGUGCUCAGAAGACAGCACACGUGUGUUCCAAUCAAGGGUUCAGGGAUCCAACUCAUUGGAUGAGCCGGGACUUGUUGAGCAUCUCCCACUGAUGCCUGCUUGGGCAUUCAGUGGGGUUUUGUGUUCCAGGCUCUGAGCUCCUUCUGCCCAGUGAAUGUUAGCAGCUUUCACGUUUGGAAGUUUUGGGAAGAUGGGGCCACAUUCACCCAAGAAAACAAUCAGCUGCCGCUGAGAGUUGGAUGCCCCCCCAAACAGCUUCCUCCUCCCUGGUUCACGAGGAAACUCCAUAUUGCUUCUACCCAGUGGUUUCCAGCUGGGUCUGUGUAAGCAUUUGGAUCAGUGGCUGCUUAUCCAGAAGAACGUGUCUGAAUUGUCCAGAGGGGGAGGAAGUGGAAGAUUUUGUAUUCCAAGGAUAAAAGAUGGACAUUGCAGACCCUGGGAGGGAAUUGGAUUCCAAAAGAUGAAGGACAAAGAAACUGUGGAUUCAAAUAAUAGAAUCAGGAACUUAGAUGUCUGCAUGCUGAGCGCCACAGCCUUAGGAGCUGUAGUGAAGAGGGAGGUGGCUGAGUUUGGCCUGAUAGGUGAGCAGUGAAGAGGGACACAUACAGGAGGCUGGACAAUGGGUAUCUCUAUGGCAGAGCAGUGAAUGAUGGACUGGAAACCAGAGGUCCAUUCUCAGAUAAUGCCUGGGAAGGGAGAACAUUUGUCCCAACCAGAUGACUUGAGACUAAGUGUUCUCCAGAUUUAACUGUACGUAGAAAAUUAUAGGAAAAGGUUUUUCCUGUGCCUAAGUGUUAGAGAGCAAUUCUUGUGGUUUAUAACAUAAAACCAUAACACCAUUCCCAUAAUUUUACCAAGAUUUGUAACAUGUAUUAUCUCAUUUGAUCUUAAAUGUAGUUGGCAUCUUUGCAAUCUGUGAAUAUCUGUCACCUUAAUUGGGAAGGAAUUGGAUCCUGAAAAUGAUCAUGUAAGUAUGUGGAAUCCUCAUUUUUAUUGUGAAGUAAGAAUUUUUUUUUCAUGUAAGAAUUCUGACACUCAGACAAAAAAAGUGACUUGCCUUAAAUCAAACAGCUUGUAAACGCUGAGGUUUGAACCAAAAUUGAAGCCCUAUGUCAAC
rnacentral:lncRNA from 1 species